rnacentral:rRNA from 1 species
GACGUAGGGCGCGAGCGUUGUCCGGAUUUAUUGGGCGUAAAGAGCUCGUAGGCGGCUCGUUGCGUCGGCUGUGAAAACCCGCGGCUCAACCGUGGGCUUGCAGCUGAUACGGGCGGGCUGGAGUUCGGUAGGGGAGACUGGAAUUCCUGGUGUAGCGGUGAGAUGCGCAGAUAUCAGGAGGAACACCGGUGGCGAAGGCGGGUCUCUGGGCCGAUACUGACGCUGAGGAGCGAAAGCGUGGGGAGCGAACAGG